GUGGCUGUUACUUGGCUCAUCAGAGGCUGGCUAUUAUUGAUCCUGCUUCUGGAGACCAGCCAC
rnacentral:sRNA from 1 species